UCAGAUGACCGGAUGGCUGCUGCUUGUGCUUUUUGCACAAGGAGAGGAAAGUCCGGGCUCCACAGGGUCAGGGUGCCGGAUAACGUCCGGCGGGGGCAACUCUAGGGAAAGUGCCACAGAAAACAAACCACCCGCUAUGCAGGGCAAGGGUGAAAAGGUGCGGUAAGAGCGCACCGCCGAACUGGCAACAGAACGGGCAUGGUAAACCCCACCCGGAGCAAGACCAGAUAGGAACAUAAGGCACGGCAUUGCCGUUCCAGAUGCGACCCUGCAUCAUGUUCGGGUAGGUUGCUUGAGAUGGCUGGUAACAGCCAUCCUAGAUGAAUAGCCGUCAUCAGCUGCAAUCGCAGCUGUUACAGAACCCGGCUUACAGGUCAUCUGACAUU
rnacentral:RNase_P_RNA from 1 species